UAUCCCGGAGGGCUUGUAGCUCAGUUGGUUAGAGCGCGCGCUUGAUAAGCGUGAGGUCGGAGGUUCAAGUCCUCCCAGGCCCACCAAUUUACCUAUCCAUUUGCUUUUAUCCGUUUAUUUGCCGAUUUAUCGGUCCAUUGAAUUUAAGUGUUGGUAGCAGUUUUUAUAAUGAUGAGAAAUCAUGCUUAUAAAAGAACUUCUUAUAAAAGGCUUGUUUUUAAAAUGUGACGCUUAUCCAUUUUGCUUAGGCAAGAGAAACUUCAAGCGGUUCAAAUGCAAAAGGCUUUAAAUUUUGCAAAACAAUUUGAAUUUUAAAGUGAUCCAAGUUCGUGAUCUCGAAUUUAAAAGUUUCGAAUGCUUUAU
rnacentral:misc_RNA from 1 species